rnacentral:rRNA from 1 species
GACGAACGCUGGCGGCGUGCUUAACACAUGCAAGUCGAACGGAAAGGCCCUGCUUUUGUGGGUUGCUCGAGUGGCGAACGGGUGAGUAACACGUGAGUAACCUGCCCUUGACUUUGGGAUAACUUCAGGAAACUGGGGCUAAUACCGGAUAGGAGCUCCUGCUGCAUGGUGGGGGUUGGAAAGUUUCGGCGGUUGGGGAUGGACUCGCGGCUUAUCAGCCUGUUGGUGGGGUAGUGGCUUACCAAGGCUUUGACGGGUAGCCGGCCUGAGAGGGUGACCGGCCACAUUGGGACUGAGAUACGGCCCAGACUCCUACGGGAGGCAGCAGUGGGGAAUAUUGCACAAUGGGCGGAAGCCUGAUGCAGCAACGCCGCGUGCGGGAUGACGGCCUUCGGGUUGUAAACCGCUUUCGCCUGUGACGAAGCGUGAGUGACGGUAAUGGGUAAAGAAGCACCGGCUAACUACGUG